AUUCAGCUGACGAGUCCCAAAAUAAGGCGAAAUGCUCAUCCUGGAU
rnacentral:hammerhead_ribozyme from 1 species